rnacentral:rRNA from 1 species
UACGGAGGGUGCAAGCGUUACUCGGAAUCACUGGGCGUAAAGAGCGCGUAGGCGGGAUAGCAAGUCAGAUGUGAAAUCCUAUGGCUUAACCAUAGAACUGCAUUUGAAACUGUUAUUCUAGAGUAUGGGAGAGGUAGGUGGAAUUCUUGGUGUAGGGGUAAAAUCCGUAGAGAUUAGGAAGAACACCAGUGGCGAAGGCGACUUACUGGACUGUAACUGACGCUGAGGCAUGAGAGCAUGGGGAGCAAACAGG